rnacentral:lncRNA from 1 species
GCGUCUGAGGAGGCGGGAGCCUGCGUUCCUACCUGGUUCGCCUGGGCGCGCAGGGGCUCCGCGGGGGCCGCAGCUCCUAGGGGCGCUGGAGGAGUGAGCCUGAGACCGCGCGGCGGCGACCACGGCCGGAGGAGGAAGCCGCGAGUCUGACUGGGACGCGAGGACUGUGAAGAAGGCAUCUCCCAUGGAGAAAGCUGCCAGUGGCUGAAAACACGGAAGAAAAACAUCUUCGCCUGGGGAGGACGCCAUUGCUAGUGCCAUUACGGUCAACCGUUGGAACAAGAUAAACGGCACGCCCAAUCUAGUGAGGAUUUUGGACACGGGGACUCCGACUGGGACCCCACCUAAAACCCGAUCUGCGUUGCCGCCUCGGCGGGGCCUCGCUGUCUUACUGAGCACACAAACCAAGAGAGUCGUUUCUGUGCAGCACUGACAUUCCCAGGGGCACCACCUGCCCACCCACCCUGAGCAUCCCUCUGCUCAGCCUGCUGGAGCCAGGCUUUCCAGGUCAUGCAGUCUUGGACAGGUCAAGUGGGGCAAAGGCAAUGCCAAGGAAGAUGCUGUGUCCCUUCUGACAGGUAAGA